UGAGGAUUUGAUCCUGGUCCAGGAUGAACGCUAGCGGUGUGCUUUAAGCAUGCAAGUGGGACGAGUUGUAGCAAUACAACUAGUCGCGAACGGCUGAGUAUAAAAUAGGAAUCUACCCAAUGGUGUGGAAUACCUUAUCGAAAGAUGAGCUAAUACCACAUGACCUCGCAAGAGAAAAGGACUUAACUGUCCGCCGAUGGAUGAGCCUAUUUCCCAUCAGUUUGUUGGUAGGGUAAUGGCCUACCAAGACUAUGACGGGUAGGGGAUUUGAGAGGAUGACCCCCCAGAACAGGACUGAGACACGGCCUGUACACCUACGGGUGGCAGCAACUGGGAAUCGUGCGCAAUGGACGAAAGUCUGACGCCGCGACACCGCGUGAAGGAUGAAGGCCUUUUGGUCGUAAACUUCUUUUGCCAUAUGGGUGACCAUAUGGAGAAUAAGCACCUGCUAACUCUGUGGAUUUUUAAAAAUUGGUGCAGAGUACUGAUAGUAAUAUCGGUAGAGAAAACUUCGCUAUAUGCUGGAACAUUUUGUAAACAGAUAGAUACUAACAUUAUCAAAGGAUGAUGACAGUGAAAAUUUUAUCUGAAACCCUAAAAAACAAGCGGUUUGUAUGUGGGUUACAAAACUAUCAGCAGGUAACCUUUUUGAGAAAUCAAAAUGGGCACCUCAGAGACUACACGCGAAGCUCCGUUAGAUAUAUAAUUAUCUAAUCGGAUGAUGAUAUAGUCCACGCUAUUUAUGUCAGAUAUAAAUCAAAUAAUAGUUGGAUCGAUAUUGGGAGAUGGAAGUUUAUCACCUUUAACUAAAAGGAAUAAAUAUUCAACUCUAGAUAUUUCUCAACAUGAGAGUAAAUUGCCUUAUUUAAGGUGGUUAUAUGAUCAACUAACAAAGAAAUUUGAAUUAAAUCCGAUAUAUCAGAAAAAAGGUUUUGAGAAUCAAUAUAGGUUUAGAAGUAAGCCAAAUAAGACUCUUGGAAUUUUUAGGUCUAAAUUUUAUGACAAUUUAACAGGUUGUAAAAUUAUUCCAAAAGAUAUAGGAGAUUUACUAAAAAACCCAAUUUCUUUGGCAGUUUGGUAUAUGGAUGACGGAACUUUAGAUAAAAGAUAUAAGUAUCAUUUAAAUUCUUCAAUCGCAACAAAUUGUUUCUCAUUUGAGGAAUGCAGUUUGUUGAGUGAGGUUUUAAAUGAUAAUUUUAAACUUAAAACGUCUGUUAAUAAGACUACAAUGAGGGGUAAGAUUUACCCCAGAAUUUAUUUUAAGUCUGAAUGUAUGAAUGAUUUUAUUAAGAUCAUCAAGCCUUAUAUUAAUUCAGUUUUUAAUUACAAAAUUGGAAUUGAAUAAUCUAAACUAUAGAGUAGCCAGCAGCCGCGGUAAUACAGAGGGUGCAAGCGUUAUCCGGAUUUAUUGGGCGUAGAGCGUUUCGUAGGCGGUUUGGUAAGUUAGACUUCAAAGACCACGGCUCAACCGGGGGAAGGGGUCUAAUACUGCCAGACUUGAGGGUUUUAGGGGCAAUCGGAACUGUUGGUGUAGGGGUGAAAUCCGUUGAUAUCAACAGGAACGUCAAGGGCGUAGGCAGAUUGCUGGGAAACUUCUGACGCUGAGGAACGAAAGCUAGGGGAGCGAAAGGGAUGGGGUUUAUAAACUCUAGUUCCUCCGUUAAGUAAUUAACGGUUUAAAAAUUCGACUAUAUGCUGGAAUAACUGUGUAUCUUAGACUAGUAUUGACUUUGGUUUUAAUUCGGAUAAUACUGAAUUAAUGCCCAAAUUAAAUACUGAAAAUGUUUUAAGUGCAGUCAAUCAGCAGGGAAGAUCUCGAAAGAGAAACCCUCAGAGACUAUAUGUCGAAUAUCCUAGUAAGAAUGUAAUAAGUAAUAUAGAAGCAACUUUAUUGGGUAUCUUAUACACUGAUGGUUGUUUAUCUAGAAAGAGUAAGAAUGCUUGGAGAUUUUAUCUAAGUAAUACUUCUUACGAGAUUAUACAAAUAUUUAAAAAUUGUAUGAUUAAACUUUUUGGAUUAAACACUAAAAGAAUAAGAAUAUCUAAAUAUGUUGUUAAUGGUAAGCCUUUUUAUAAAGCAAUUGUAGAUAGUGCAUCAUCUGGAGAAUUUUUAAAUUCAAAAUAUGGUACAUUUCGAACUCUUGCUUAUAAAAGUGUAGAUGGUAAAGUAAUUUAUCCUUCUACAAAAUUACCGUUUAACAAAAAUUCUAAUCGCAAAAUAAUUUGCAAGUUUUUAAAAACUGCAUUUAGUUGUGAUGGAGGUAUAAAUUUAUAUGUAGCAAAAUCAAAGUUUGGUUACAAAUUUUUGAUUAGAAAUGCAUAUUUAGCUUGCAAACAUCCACAAUUACAGAUUGAUUAUCAUAAACUUUUAAAAGUUCUUGGUAUUAAAUCUAAAAUUUUUGAAAAAGAUGGAAAAAUACUUAUUCAAGGAAGAAAUGAAUUGAAUAAAUUUAGUAAAAAAGUUGGUUUUCUAAAAAGAGUCAAGAUAACACAAAAUUCUAAAUUUUGGCAAGGUGCUGAAAAAGAAAAAGUGUUAAAUCUUGCAUUAAAUUCUUACAAUAAUCCGAGAAAGAUUAUAAAUCUUUCAAAGUUUAAAGGAUAAAGAUAUAGUCCGACCUCAUAAGCGAUUAUGAGACUACGUGUUGAAUCGUAGUAAACAAACUAUUUAUAGUUUGUUAUAACAAAUUUGUAGAGACCCCUGUAGUCCUAGCCGUAAACUUUGCCUGCUAGCGAUCCGACUUUGGUCGGGUUGCGUAAGCUAACGCGUUAAGCGGGCCGCCUGGGGAGUACGAACGCAAGUUUAAAACUCAAAGGAAUUGACGGGAAGGCGCACAACCAGUGGAGCAUGUGGUUUAAUUCGAAACGAAACGAAGAACCUUACCCAGUCUUGACAUAUUACCGUUUUAGAUUGCCAGAAAUGGCGAUCGAUCCUUAAGUAAUUUUGGAUGGUAUUACAGGUGUUGCAUGGCCGUCGUCAGCUCGUGUCGUAGGUUAACACUUUGCGACCCUUCGAAGCAAUUCGGAGUGCGAAAUCUGGCUCAUAUCGGUGGAACUUCUUAUUUUUAAUAAGAACAAUACCGAGGGAAGUCGACUUAAAUUUUAAGUUUGACCCCGUAACGACUGAUUUUGGUAUUUUUAAAUAUCAAAUGAUAUACAAGAUAAUACGCUUGUAUAACACGCCAGCUCCCGAUUUAAUCGGGAUGAAGGUAUAGUCUAAUUACAGUUACCUUUUAAAGUAAUUGGAGGUGUUCCCUUCAGUGGGGUAACGAGCGCAACCCCUGCCCUGAGUUAAAUAAUCUCAGGGGACUUCCCUCAUUUAUUGCGGGAGGAAGUGGGGACGACGUCAGGUCAGCAUGGCCCUUAUGACUGGGGCAACACACAUACUACAAUGGAGCCGACAAUGGGUUGCCAAGCCGCAAGGCGGAGCUAAUCCCAUCAAACGGCUUCUCAGUUGGGAUUGAGGGCUGCAACUCGCCCUCAUGAACAUGGAAUUGGUAGUAAUCGCGGGUCAGCUAUACCGCGGUGAAUACGUUCUCGCCUUUUGUACACACCGCCCGUCAAGGCAGUAAAGUUAAAGGUACCCGAA
rnacentral:rRNA from 1 species